rnacentral:rRNA from 1 species
GACGAACGCUGGCGGCGUGCUUAACACAUGCAAGUCGAACGGAAAGGCCCUGCUUUUGCGGGGUGCUCGAGUGGCGAACGGGUGAGUAACACGUGAGUAACCUGCCCUUGACUUUGGGAUAACUUCAGGAAACUGGGGCUAAUACCGGAUAGGAGCUCCUGCUGCAUGGUGGGGGUUGGAAAGUUUCGGCGGUUGGGGAUGGACUCGCGGCUUAUCAGCUUGUUGGUGGGGUAGUGGCUUACCAAGGCUUUGACGGGUAGCCGGCCUGAGAGGGUGACCGGCCACAUUGGGACUGAGAUACGGCCCAGACUCCUACGGGAGGCAGCAGUGGGGAAUAUUGCACAAUGGGCGGAAGCCUGGUGCAGCAACGCCGCGUGCGGGAUGACGGCCUUCGGGUUGUAAACCGCUUUCGCCUGUGACGAAGCGUGAGUGACGGUAAUGGGUAAAGAAGCACCGGCUAACUACGUGCCAGCAGCCGCGGUGAUACGUAGGGUGCGAGCGUUGUCCGGAUUUAUUGGGCGUAAAGGGCUCGUAGGUGGUUGAUCGCGUCGGAAGUGUAAUCUUGGGGCUUAACCCUGAGCGUGCUUUCGAUACGGGUUGACUUGAGGAAGGUAGGGGAGAAUGGAAUUCCUGGUGGAGCGGUGGAAUGCGCAGAUAUCAGGAGGAACACCAGUGGCGAAGGCGGUUCUCUGGGCCUUUCCUGACGCUGAGGAGCGAAAGCGUGGGGAGCGAACAGGCUUAGAUACCCUGGUAGUCCGCGCUGUAAACGGUGGGUACUAGGUGUGGGGUCCAUUCCACGGGUUCCGUGCCGUAGCUAACGCUUUAAGUACCCCGCCUGGGGAGUACGGCCGCAAGGCUAAAACUCAAAGGAAUUGACGGGGCCCCGCACAAGCGGCGGAGCAUGCGGAUUAAUUCGAUGCAACGCGUAGAACCUUACCUGGGUUUGACAUGGAUCGGGAGUGCUCAGAGAUGGGUGUGCCUCUUUUGGGGUCGGUUCACAGGUGGUGCAUGGCUGUCGUCAGCUCGUGUCGUGAGAUGUUGGGUUAAGUCCCGCAACGAGCGCAACCCUUGUUCACUGUUGCCAGCACGUUAUGGUGGGGACUCAGUGGAGACCGCCGGGGUCAACUCGGAGGAAGGUGGGGAUGACGUCAAGUCAUCAUGCCCCUUAUGUCCAGGGCUUCACGCAUGCUACAAUGGCUGGUACAGAGAGUGGCGAGCCUGUGAGGGUGAGCGAAUCUCGGAAAGCCGGUCUCAGUUCGGAUUGGGGUCUGCAACUCGACCUCAUGAAGUCGGAGUCGCUAGUAAUCGCAGAUCAGCAACGCUGCGGUGAAUACGUUCCCGGG